CCAAGGCCAUACUUAGUACGGCGAGUGAAGCGGUAAAAGCUCAAAUUUGAAAUCUGGUACUUUCAGUGCCCGAGUUGUAAUUUGUAGAAUUUGUCUUUGAUUAGGUCCUUGUCUAUGUUCCUUGGAACAGGACGUCAUAGAGGGUGAGAAUCCCGUUUGGCGAGGAUACCUUUUCUCUGUAAGACUUUUUCGAAGAGUCGAGUUGUUUGGGAAUGCAGCUCAAAGUGGGUGGUAAAUUCCAUCUAAAGCUAAAUAUUGGCGAGAGACCGAUAGCGAACAAGUACAGUGAUGGAAAGAUGAAAAGAACUUUGAAAAGAGAGUGAAAAAGUACGUGAAAUUGUUGAAAGGGAAGGGCAUUUGAUCAGACAUGGUGUUUUUUGCAUGCACUCGCCUCUCGUGGGCUUGGGCCUCUCAAAAAUUUCACUGGGCCAACAUCAAUUCUGGCAGUAGGAUAAAUCAUUAAGAAUGUAGCUACCUCGGUAGUGUUAUAGCUUAUUGGAAUACUGCUAGCUGGGAUUGAGGACUGCGCUUCGGCAAGGAUGUUGGCAUAAUGGUUAAAUGCCGCCCGUCUUGAAACC
rnacentral:rRNA from 1 species